rnacentral:lncRNA from 1 species
CUGUUCAUAUACAAUGCCCACUAUCUGUCAGGAAAGAAACCCCAACAUGAAGACACCCACAUAGAUCCUCAUGUUUAGAAGAAAAUACUAAACAAAGUUGGAAAAGAUGCUAUCUCAUCUCUUUCCUAUUUUAAUCACUAUUAUUGACAAAUCUUUGGACCCUACCACUCCAUCAGACAUUGAAACAAGGCACACUCAAUUUAGUACGACUCUACCACCACUCACUCCAACAUCUACAUUCUGCUUCCUAAAGCUUCUC